GGUUGAUCCGUGCCGGAGAUCACCGCUAUCCGGGUUCGGCUUAUCCAUGCGAGACGAGAGGGGUUAAGCCCUCGUCGUACUGCUGAGUAACACGUAGUCAAUCUACUCUUAGGUGGGGAAUAAUCUUGGGAAACUGAGGCUAAUACCCCAUAGAUUAUAGAUACUGGAAUGUUCUAUAAUCCAAAGCUCCGGCGCCUAAGAAUGAGACUGCGGCCUAUCAGAUUGUUGUCAGGAUAAAAACCUGACAAGUCUAUAACGGGUAAGGGCCAUGAGAGUGGAUGCCCUCAGAUGUUUUCUGAGACAUGAAAACAGGGCCUACGGGUCGCAGCAGGAGCGAAAACUUUCCAAUGCGUUAAUGCGUGAGAAGGGAACCUGGAGUGAUUACACUUCAAGUGUAAUCUUUUGUUUAGGCUAAAGAUCUAUUCGAAUAAGGAGUGGGCCAGACAGGUGCCAGCCGCCACGGUAAUACCUGCGCUCCAAGUGGUGAUCAUUUUUAUUGGGCUUAAAGCGUCCGUAGCCGGUUUAAUAAGUUUCUAGUGAAAUCCUGCAGCUAACUGCAGGGCGUGCUGGAAAUACUGUUAGACUUGGGACCGGGAGAAGUCAGAGGUAUUCCAUGUGUAGGGGUUAAAUCCUUUAAUCCAUGGAGGACCGCCCUGUGGCGAAUAUUUUGAGUAUUGAAAAUUAUAAGCACACAAAAUAUUCCAUAAAAGGCGUCUGACUAGAACGGGUCCGACGGUGAGGGACGAAAGCUAGGGGAGCGAUCGGGAUUAGAUACCCCGGUAGUCCUAGCCGUAAACGAUGCCCGCUUGGUGUCGCGUAUCUUAUGUGGAUAUGCGGUGCCGGAGCGUAAGUGUUAAGCGGGCCGCCUGGGGAGUACGUCCGCAAGGAUGAAACUUAAUGGAAUUGGCGGGGGAGCACACAAGAAGUGGAGGCUGCGGUUCAAUUGGAUUCGACGCCGAACAACUCACGGGGGUUGACAGCAGUAUGAUGGUCACUCUGAAGGGGUUACCUGACGCGCUGAGAGGUGUUGCAUGGCCAACGUCAGCUCGUACCAUGAGGCGUGCGCUUAAGUGCGUUAACGAGCAAGACCCACGCCGUCAUUUGCUAUUAUCUUCUCCGGAAGGUAAGCACCAUGACGGGACCGCUGGUGAUGAACCAGAGGAAGGUGUGGACAACGUUAGGUCCGUAUGGCCCGAAUACCCUCGGCUACACGCGGCCUACAAUGGGUGGUACAAUGCGAUGCAAUACUGAAAAGUAAAGCUAAUCGUUAAAGCCACUCUUAGUACGGAUUGAGGAUUGUAAUUCAUCCUCAUGAAGCCGGAAUUUCUAGUAGGCGAAAUUCACUAUAUUUCGCCGAAUACGUCCCUGCUCUUGCACACACCGCCCGUC
rnacentral:rRNA from 1 species